rnacentral:rRNA from 1 species
GACGAACGCUGGCGGCGCGCCUAACACAUGCAAGUCGAACGGAGCUUGCUUGUCAGAUCCUUUCGGGGUGACGACUUGUAAGCUUAGUGGCGAACGGGUGAGUAACACGUGAGUAACCUGCCCCAGAGUGGGGGACAACAGUUGGAAACGACUGCUAAUACCGCAUAAGCCCACAGAACCGCAUGGUUCAGGGGUAAAAACUCCGGUGGUAUGAGAUGGACCCGCGUCUGAUUAGCUAGUUGGUAAGGUAACGGCUUACCAAGGCGACGAUCAGUAGCCGACCUGAGAGGGUGAACGGCCACAUUGGGACUGAGAUACGGCCCAG